CGGCGGCCACCGCGGGAGAUUUAAAUGGCCACUAGGUAGCACCCCGACCCGGAGCGUGGCAAACAGGAAGCCAUCCUUGCCAGCCUCCCUUUCUGCCUCACUACCUAGAUUCCCUCACAGGAAUACAUGAUUAUUUACAGACACACACACAUGCCCAUGCAAGGGACUCUUGAGAUCCUGAUCUUGGAGCUGAGGAAGGAUGUUGAAGAUACUGGAGUUCCCUUUGAAGCCAGCUGGAAGGUGAAGUGUUCAGCAGCUAUCAAGUCCAUUGUGGAACAGCUGAUUCGCCUUUAGAAGAUAACAGCUGUAUUGCAAGUGCAGUGAAGUGUCAGUCCAUACAUGUGCACUUUAGCAGCUACUUCGUCAAGUUAAAUGAAUGAUUGCACCUCCUUCAUUCUCCUCCCCUGAAAAGUGUCAAAGAGGAUGGAGAAUGGAAGACAUAUAAAUUGAAUUCAUAUACAUAGUCAAAACAGGAGACUAUUUCAUCAUGAUUGAGAGUUAAUUUGCUGUGUUGCUGUAGAAACGCUGGCAAAUGCAUUAAACUCAAUGUCCAACCAUUGCAUUCUUUUAACAGCUUUAUUUUUAAUAGCUGUUUACUUAAGAACAUGCCUCAGAUGCAUUACCAUAUAUUUUUUGUCCUUCUGUACACGAAAGGUAUUAUUUCUUCUCAGGUAGGUUGAGUGAACAGCUCAACUUACUAUUGCCAGUAACUUCUCUGCUUCGUAUCAUAUUUCCUGGAUGUGUCUACUGCCUCUGCUGUAUGAUAUAAAUACCUUUUCACGCACAAUGACAGCAAGCAUUCUUUUCUGUAAUGUUCAGAACAAAUCAGGACGGAGAUCUGCAAAAAUCUGAGAUUUCAAAGAAUCCUCCAAGGUACAAUUUCUACCCUUGCAGGACACCAAUGAAUGUGGAUAUUGGGGAAGGGCUGGAAAGUUCUGCUGUUUUGUUUUGGAGAGAUAUUCAUACCUCACCUCAUCUUUCCCUUUUAACCAGCCACAUCCACACAGGAGUUUUAAUAGUGGGUUUGUGCCCAGAAUACAUGAUCCCUCCCUAGAACGUUAAGAGACAAUCUGGAAUAAGGCUUUAUGUCAGCUGUGCUGAAAGGAAUGAAAAAUAAACUUGGAUCUUGAAUGCCAUGUUGUUCCUCACAUGAGUUACAGCCUAGAUUGCAGCCUAGAUGUACUUAAGGGAGUGUAAAUUAGAGCAGGGUUGAUCACUGAUGAGAAACAAAACUAAAUACAGACUGUGAGAUUGCACUCUCCUUUUUCCCUUCAGAUUGCUUAUAACCCUUUCACACA